CGGCCGCGGUAUCCUGACCGUGCAAAGGUAGCAUAAUCAUUUGUUCCUUAAUUAGGGACUUGUAUGAAUGGCCCCACGAGGGUUUGACUGUCUCUUACUUUUAAUCAGUGAAAUUGACCUUCCCGUGAAGAGGCGGGAAUACAAAAAUAAGACGAGAAGACCCUAUGGAGCUUAAAUUAACACGCUCUGAGCAAUAAAUUUUGGUUGGGGUGACCUCGGAGUACAACAAAACCUCCGAACCAAGACUUACUAGUCAAGGUCAAUCACAUUGAUCAACGAAACAAGUUACCCUAGGSAUAASAKCGCAAUCCUAUUUGAGAAKASKYAUMUMSAAUAGGGUUUACGACCUCGAUGUUGGAUCAGGACACCCAAAUGGUGCAGCAGCU
rnacentral:rRNA from 1 species